UCAAUGAAUUUGAAGUGUUCUUGUUUUAGCUUUUUUGUUCUUGACAUGGUACACUGCAAAUUCUGAAAAUUUCAAAGAGGAAUCAAUCAUAUAUUUGAGCAAGAAAGCAAGAUUUGAAGAUCACUGAUGAAGCAGAUAACAUCAGAAUGCAGAUGACUGAAAAUCUAGGAAUGAGCCUGGUGUCUUCAUGUUUGAAUGGAAAGAAUUAUUUUUCAUGGAGCAGAUCUGUAAAGAUCGCAUUGGGUGCAAAGAUGAAGUUGUAUUACAUUAACGGAAAAAGCCGAAAACCUCAAGAAGAUGCAGAGCACUACGAACAGUGGGUAAGAAACGACUGUCUAGUCACUUUUUGGAUUCUUAAUUCCAUUUCUAAAGAAAUUGUGGAGAGUUUUCUUUACACUAAUUCAACAAGAGAUAUGGGUUGAAUUAGAAACACAUUUUGGUUAAGUAAUGGUCCUACGAUCUAUCAAAUUCAAAGGGAAAUCUCAUCUAUGGCUCAGGGAAAUCUGUCUGUUUCUGCCUAUUAUGCCAAAUUAAAAAGGUUGUGGGAUGAGCUCACUUGCCUUAAGCCAUUGCCGCAAUGUGAAUGUAAGGUUUCUAAAGCUUUUGCAAAUCUUAACCUUUCAACACAACUCAUGCAAUUCUUGAUGGGAUUGCAUGAUAAUCUUGAUCAUGUUAGAAGUCAAAUUCUUUUGAUGGAACCCUUACCUAGUGUCAAUAAAGCAUACUCAAUGGUUUUAAGAGUAGAAAAACAAAGGGAAAUCAAUACAGAAAAUGCUGCUUCUGUUCAAAACUUGGCAAUGCAAGUAAAAGAAAAUAGAAGGAACACACCUUUUGUUUUAAGAAACAUACAGAGGAAGAAAACUUUGACAGAAAAGCAGAAUAUGAUAUGCCAAGAAUGUGGGAAAACUGGCCACCCCAAAAGCACAUCCUUUGAAAUAUAUGGUAUUCUGACUGGUACAAGGCCCUUAUGGUGAAAAGAAAACACAAGGUAACAACAACCAAGCUUUUAAUGCCACUGAAGGUGAAAGGCAUGUUGUAGCUGCUGCAGGAGAUGCAGUCAACAGUUAAGGCUGAAAUCCAAAGGAUGAUGGUAGAAAACAACCUCAAUCAAUCAUCAGUUGAUCAAUUUUCAGGACCACAAGAUUAAAACCAUUCUUUCUGUAGGAAAAGCCAUAGGGAGAAUAUACAUGCUUGAUACAGCAUCUUUUACAACAGAAAUCAUUAAAACCUUUGAGAGAAAAUCAGAAUAUCCUGAUUGCUUUACUGUCCUUAAUUGAUUUCAAUGUAUGGAAUAAGAGGUUGCGUCAUUCUUCAGAACAUGUACUUACACAUAUUCCUGGUUUAGCGAAUAAUCAUGACAAAAAACACAUUUGUGAUAUUUGCCCCCUACCUAAACAACAGACUGCCCUUCACAACUAGUGAAUCAAACUCUCUUGAAAUUUUUGAUCUUGUUCAUGUGGAUUUGUGGGGGGGCUUAUAAUCAGCCUUCCCUAUCAAAUUGUGUCUAUAUGAUGACAAUAGUGGAUGAUUAUAGUAGGUGUACCUGGACUUUUUUUAUAAAACAUGAAUCUGAUGUUGUGGCCCCUACUUGUGUUAUUUCAAAAGAUGAUUCAAACUCAAUUCAACAAAAGAAUUAGAGUUGUUACGAUUGAUAAUGGAACUGAAUUUCUAAGCAGUGAAUGCCAACAUUUUUUCAAAAAUGAAGGGAUCAUACAUCACAAGACGUGUUUACACACCCCAACAAAAUGGGGUUGUGGAAAGGAAACACAAGCACCUCUUGCAAAUAGUGAGAGCCUUGAUGUUUCAUUCUUCACUUCCUUCAAUUUUUAUAAAAAGAGCCCAAAUAUAAUUAAUCUUUAAAUUUAUACAUAAAUUUUUACACCAAACACUCCACGAUCCCACUUCAACUUUUUUCUAUUUCUAACUAAAAUUUCCACGUACACUCUCAUCUUUUACUUCUGCCCACUAAAUUACAACACUUUCUAAAAUUACAAUUUUUUGCAAACCCUCCCUAAAAUAAGAACAAGAAUUCAUCCAAGAAAACUAAAGAAAAAAGGUGAAAUAAAUAAAAUAAAAUAAAAUAAAGAAAACCUUUGCAGGCUUAAAUAAGCUGCCAUUUUUGUCUUUGUGCCUAU